AACGAUUAUAAAUAUAUAAACAUAGAUAAUCAGCAAGGAGACCGUUGUUUGUAUCCUGCUAGUUUCCACUAGGUUUGCUUGUUUAUUGGAAUUUUUCGAAGUAACUCUUGUGGUGGUGCAAUCAUUGCCGGAAUCUAGAGUCCCACACGCUACUCCAAAAGAGUCAUCCACGCUUGUUUUGUCCAAGUUCUCGGCAUCAUAAUUUUAGUCUCCUCUCAUCUCGACCCCCUUUUUAUUUUGGUUUAAAAAAUGUAAAGUCUUUAAAUAAUAGUUGUUGUAUUUGAGCUUAGGCUAGUAACUGUGAGCAGCAUGUCUCUUUUGAAAAUUUAGUUAUCUGGACAUUAAUGCUCCCUGGAUCAAAUAAUUUCUGUCUCCUUAGCCUUUCUACUCUUUCAUUGUUGUUUCAGUGAGAAUUUGAGCCUAUCAAUGGUAAGAUUGUAUCAACCUUCGUGACCUUGAGUAUUGUAUUAGGCUAUUGCUUGGAUUUGUUUCAUCUUAGUUUAUUGUUUAUUGGAGUUUAUUCAAGAUCAACUUUAUAUUAUUCAGAUUGUUUGUGUGAUUACUUUAUUACUUUCGUUACAAUUAGUGCUUAUACGUUUAUUUUUAUUUUUGAUGCAUGUGGAAAUAUGCCGAGUUCAUUAUGAACUCUUAUUUUCCAUUCGUCACAUUUUGAGAGAGCCACAAAGGUCCUAAAUAUUCUUUUCAUCGAGUCAAACCCACAAAAAUUGAAGCACAGGCUAAGAAGCUGAAGAUUUUGGGCCAUAAUGGCCCAAGUUUAUUUUCUGAAAUUUUGUAUUUUUGUAUUUUUGUAUUUUGGGUUCAACCCCCCUCGUAAUAUUUGUUUAUCCUCGUUUUAUUAGUUCUUAGGACAGGUUAAAAUGGGCCUAAGGCCAAAAGAAAGGAUAAUUAUUUUCAUGACUAAUUUAGGACAAGAAAAAUCAAAUGGGCCUAAGGCCCAAAGCAAAAUGGGUCCAAAUACCGGUUUAGACGGGCAGAAAUCAGAUUUGAACCCAACUCUCUCUCUCU